ACAAGUUGAAUAGGAAUAGAUGUGAACUAACAAUGGGAUAUUAGAAGUGAGCAUUUUGUCCUUCAUGUCAAUUGUGCAGAUUUGGAUCAUCUUAGGAUGAGUGGGGCACUUUAAUUUAAUAUAUAUAUAUAUAUAUAUAUAUAUAUAUAUAUAUAUAUAUAUAUAUAUAUAUACAGUGGGGCAAAAAAGUAUUUAGUCAGCCACCAAUUGUGCAAGUUCUCCCACUUAAAAAGAUGAGAGGCCUGUAAAUUUUUUAUGAAUUUAUUUACAAAUUAUGGUGGAAAAUAAGUAUUUGGUCAAUAACAAAAGUUUAUCUCAAUACUUUGUUAUAUACCCUUUGUUGGCAAUGACAGAGGUCAAACAUUUUCUGUAAGUCUUCACAAGGUUUUCGCACACUGUUGCUGGUAUUUUGACAUUUGAUGACAUCAGUUCAUCUGAGGCAAAGGAGAAAUGGCUUUCAUCUUUACAACGGUAAGGAAAUACUUACAAAACCCAGGUGUACAAUAUAAAAAUGACUUCUGAAAUUAAAUGUUGACACUUAGGAAAAAAAAGUGUUAUCUAGAACCUAAAAGGGUUAUUCGGCUGUCCUCAUAGGAGAACCCUUUUUUGGUUCUAGGUUUUUUUUUUCUUUGGGGUUCUAUGUAGAACCCUUUUCACAGAGGUUCUACAUGGAACACAAAAGGGUUCUACCUGGAACUAAAAAGUGUUAUGCUAUGGGACAUCCGAGGAACCCUGUUGGAACAAUUGUUUCUAAGAGUGUAGGAUUAUGUAUCUACCUGAUGCAGGCACAUUAAGAUAUCAGACAUGUAUAGCACUAAUAUAUGCCUAUUUGCCACAGGCACAUCACCAAAUCCAAGAAAGUGGAAUAUCCCAGCAAUCUAACCAUGAAGGUUGUUCUCAUAAAUAUUGGAACUAGUGCAAUGGGCAGACCCACUGACUACCGGCUCUGGGUUGUCUCAGGGAGAGAGGAAGCCUCAUGCCCUCUUAUUGGUCAUGAGCAUCCCUUCAGUAUUAUCCUAAACUCCUUGAGGGAAACAGACUGCCAAGUCUCAGCAGUCACCAACAACAUCCUGACUGUAGAUGGGAGCCUCUACCUUGAGCACCUUCUCAAAGAUGCUUCCGGCCCAAACUUCAUCCUCAGGCUAAAGGCUGAUGUGGGAGGACUUGGCCGAGCAGUGGAGUCUUACCAGCUGGUCGACUCGUCUGAUUAUUGGGACUGAGAGAAGCAAGAAGGACUUCACUCUCCUAACAGGGAACCUUUUUCCUGCCAUUGGAGAAACUGGUCUUGAAAGAGAUUUUGGGGCUUCUGAAUGAGGUAGACUCCUUGAAAAAGCAACAUGUGACUGAGGACAGUGCUUAUA
rnacentral:lncRNA from 1 species